rnacentral:rRNA from 1 species
AGAUCUUACAGUGGUGAAUGUCUUGGCUCGAGUAGUGAUGAAGAACGUAGCGAACUGCGAUAUUCAAUAUGAAUUGCGGAGUUUCGAGAAUUAAUAGGUCUUUGAACGCAUGCGGCAUUCCGGCUUGUCUGGUUUGCAGUCUCACCGGUGUUUAUAAUUCUUCCUCCAGUCAUCGYGCGGUUCUCCGUUCGGUGGGUCUGCGCGUUCGCCGCUUCUUGUGGCUGGCGCGUCAAACWCUAGCGUGGAGC